AGGUGUGGUGGACCGUGUGGUUGAUCCUACUCGUAGUACGUACUACUACUAAUAGUAAUCGCUCGUUCUAUGUUCCUCGGUUGGGCCGAAAUUAAUAACUACGUACUCUGAAGUACACGAACAAGUAACUAACUACGGAGUAUACAUCUAACUACGUGCGUAGUGGUAUAUCCACCGAUUCCGCCGGCCAGACGUCUCAUCUCACGUAUAAGCUUAAUUUCUUGCCGUUCAUCCCACCAGACCAGGAUUCUGACUCGCAAUGGAAUAUUCACGUUUCAUUCUGGAGGCGAGCAUGAGCAGUAGUACUCUGGAGUCCUGAGCGGCCUUUGCAGCGUAUGUUUUGGACUACGUACAUUGCGUCUGCAUCCUGUCUCCUUCGUUUUAUCCGGGCUUUGGGGUUAAGUUCUCGCCAAGUCUUUCCACAGAUUCCGGAAGCCCGACCGAUUCCAUUUGUCUCCGUGAGAUUGUUAAACACUAUUUGAUGGCUGAGCUCUGAAUCGAAUCUUCACAACAAUACGUAUACUACCCGGUAGUGUUUACAUCGAUACAUUCGUUCCCGGCCAUCAAUGAUCAAUCCCAAUACCGCCACCAAACCCGAUGGCUUCCAAUGCGUUACGCAAAUCAAGAAGGCCACCAGCUUUUAACACCGGAUGUCGGGGCAAUGUUGUGUUUCCUAUCAAUUCAUCCGUCUGGGUAAGUAGCGCUGACACGUGCCAAGGUAGACAACAUCGUGUCAUCGUCACAUCGCGGUUUCGAUGUUCAACGUAAUACACGGGGGAUACUUGGCUCGGGUCAUUUAACAAUCAGUCGCACGCACCGCAGGGCUUCGGAGGUUAUCAGCCCAGUGUCUGACCGGGAAUCCUCCUUUGCUCGGCGGAGUUUCAUUUUCCGGUACACACAGAGUAUUUCUACUGGCAUUCGCAAUCAGGCUAAAUUUGGCUGCAGCAUUCAUACAUUCAUGCACGCCUCUAAGCCUAAUGCCUGCCAGCAACUAACUACUACUACUACUACUACUACGUAACUGUGCUUCCGUUCAACAUUCAUUUUCCAGGCCCUCCCCUGUACCCGCGCCGCCAAGCCCGCGACAAGCAGCGCCUUUCACCCCUGACGCACAGCGCGCUGAGGCCGCAGGCUUGGCGGCGCGGGUAAGCUUUAAGUUACAUGACAAGUUAAGUUACAUCCCAAUUCCACUCUGCCAUCAUCCAUCGCCAUUCGGGCCGCCGUCACGUAGAUAAUAAGAUGCAUCAUCUGAGUAGAGGGGGGAAAGGCCAGGUUCUUUGAUGUACACAUCGUCUAUUGGGAAUACCUGCCCUCUACUCUGAGUAGAUACCCAGUCAAAACAGAAUGUCCUAGCCGCGAAAACACAAUUUGGGCCUUAUCGGGACAUGCCGUUACCCUUACAUAGCGUGCACUAGUUUUAUACUAGUAGUUGGAAGUUCCGUCA
rnacentral:lncRNA from 1 species